CCUACGGGUGGCAGCAGUGAGGAAUAUUGGUCAAUGGGCGCGAGCCUGAACCAGCCAAGUAGCGUGAAGGAUGACUGCCCUACGGGUUGUAAACUUCUUUUAUAAAGGAAUAAAGUGAGGCACGUGUGCCUUUUUGUAUGUACUUUAUGAAUAAAGAUAGGCUAACUCCGUGCCAGCAGCCGCGGUAAUACGGAGGAUCCGAGCGUUUUCCGGGUUUAUUGGGUUUAAAGGGAGCGUAGAUGGGGUUGUAAGUCAGUUGUGAAAGUUUGCGGCUCAACCGUAAAAUGGCAAUUGAUACUGGCAGUCUUGAGUAUGUUAGAGGCAGGCGGAAUGCGUGGUGUAGCGGUGAAAUGCGUAGAUAUCACGCAGAACCCCGAGUGCGAAGGCAGCCUGCCAGGCCAUGACUGACGCUGAUGCACGAAAGCGUGGGGAUCAAACAGGAUUAGAUACCCGGGUAGUC
rnacentral:rRNA from 1 species